rnacentral:rRNA from 1 species
UUCGGGUUAAGUCCCAUAACGAGCGCAACCCCUAUCAUUAGUUGCCAUCAGGUCAAGCUGGGGACUCUAAUGAGACUGCCUACGCAAGUAGUGAGGAAGGUGGGGAUGACGUCAAAUCAUCAUGCCCCUUAUGACCUGGGCUACAAACGUGAUACAAUGGCUGGAACAAAGGGAUGCGAAGCAGUGAUGUGGAGCGAAACCCAUAAAAACAGUCUCAGUUCGGAUUGAAGUCUACAACUCGACUUCAUGAAGUCGGAAUCGCUAGUAAUCGCGGAUCAGAACGCCGCGGUGAAUACGUUCUCGGGGUUU